CGAAGAACCUUACCAGGUCUUGACAUCCCGAUGCUAUUUCUAGAGAUAGAAAGUUACUUCGGUACAUCGGUGACAGGUGGUGCAUGGUUGUCGUCAGCUCGUGUCGUGAGAUGUUGGGUUAAGUCCCGCAACGAGCGCAACCCCUAUUGUUAGUUGCCAUCAUUCAGUUGGGCACUCUAGCGAGACUGCCGGUAAUAAACCGGAGGAAGUGGGGAUGACGUCAAAUCAUCAUGCCCCUUAUGACCUGGGCUACACACGUGCUACAAUGGUUGGUACAACGAGUUGCGAGUCGGUGACGGCGAGCUAAUCUCUUAAAGCCAAUCUCAGUUCGGAUUGUAGGCUGCAACUCGCCUACAUGAAGUCGGAAUCGCUAGUAAUCGCGGAUCAGCACGCCGCGGUGAAUACGUUCCCGGGCCUU
rnacentral:rRNA from 1 species